GGGAACUGCGUUNUGAACUGGGUGACUAGAGUGUGUCAGAGGGAGGUAGAAUUCCACGUGUAGCAGUGAAAUGCGUAGAGAUGUGGAGGAAUACCGAUGGCGAAGGCAGCCUCNUGGGAUAACACUGACGUUCAUGCCCGAAAGCGUGAGUAGCAAACAGGAUUAGAUACCCUGGUAGUCCACGCCCUAAACGAUGUCGAUUAGCUGUUGGGCAGCAUGACUGCUUAGUAGCGAAGCUAACGCGUGAAAUCGACCGCCUGGGGAGUACGGUCGCAAGAUUAAAACUCAAAGGAAUUGACGGGGACCCGCACAAGCGGUGGAUGAUGUGGAUUAAUUCGAUGCAACGCGAAGAACCUUACCUGGUCUUGACAUGUACGGAACCCUCCAGAGACGGAGGGGUGCCUUCGGGAGCCGUAACACAGGUGCUGCAUGGCUGUCGUCAGCUCGUGUCGUGAGAUGUUGGGUUAAGUCCCGCAACGAGCGCAACCCUUGUCAUUAGUUGCCAUCAUUAAGUUGGGCACUCUAAUGAGACUGCCGGUGACAAGCCGGAGGAAGGUGGGGAUGACGUCAAGUCCUCAUGGCCCUUAUGACCAGGGCUUCACACGUCAUACAAUGGUCGGUACAGAGGGUAGCCAAGCCGCGAGGUGGAGCCAAUCUCACAAAACCGAUCGUAGUCCGGAUUGCACUCUGCAAC
rnacentral:rRNA from 1 species